CCUACGGGAGGCAGCAGUGAGGAAUAUUGGUCAAUGGUCGGAAGACUGAACCAGCCAUGCCGCGUGCAGGAAGGCGGCCUUAUGGGUUGUAAACUGCUUUUAUAUGGGAAGAAUAAGGGGUACGUGUACUUUGAUGACGGUACCAUAUGAAUAAGCAUCGGCUAACUCCGUGCCAGCAGCCGCGGUAAUACGGAGGAUGCGAGCGUUAUUCGGAAUCAUUGGGUUUAAAGGGUCUGUAGGCGGGCUAUUAAGUCAGGGGUGAAAUAUUUCAGCUUAACUGGGAAAUUGCCUUUGAUACUGGUAGUCUUGAAUAUUUGUGAAGUUUUUGGAAUGUGUAGUGUAGCGGUGAAAUGCAUAGAUAUUACACAGAACACCGAUUGCGGAGGCAGGGGACUAACAAAUAAUUGACGCUGAGAGACGAGAGCGUGGGGAGCGAACAGGAUUAGAUACCCGAGUAGUC
rnacentral:rRNA from 1 species